rnacentral:rRNA from 1 species
UACGGGGGGGGCAAGCGUUGUUCGGAAUCACUGGGCUUAAAGGGUGCGUAGGCGGCGCUGAAAGUUGGGUGUGAAAUCCCACGGCUCAACCGUGGAACUGCUGGGCAUACUGCGGGUCUUGGGCCAACUAGGGGCAGCCGGAACAAGCGGUGGAGCGGUGAAAUGCGUAGAUAUCGCUUGGAACGCCGAAGGUGAAAACAGGCUGCUGGGGUUGCGCCGACGCUGAGACACGAAAGCCAGGGGAGCAAACGGG